UACGGGGGGGAGCAAGCGUUGUUCGGAUUUACUGGGCGUAAAGGGCGCGUAGGCGGCCAGCGCAAGUCAGUUGUGAAAUCUCCGGGCUUAACUCGGAACGGUCAACUGAUACUGCGCGGCUAGAGUGCAGAAGGGGCAACUGGAAUUCUCGGUGUAGCGGUGAAAUGCGUAGAUAUCGAGAGGAACACCUGCGGCGAAGGCGGGUUGCUGGGCUGACACUGACGCUGAUGCGCGAAAGCCAGGGGAGCGAACGGGG
rnacentral:rRNA from 1 species